CAGUAGCCACGUAACACGGAGGGAGCUAGCGUUAUUCGGAAUUACUGGGCGUAAAGCGCACGUAGGCGGCUUUGUAAGUUAGAGGUGAAAGCCUGGAGCUCAACUCCAGAAUUGCCUUUAAGACUGCAUCGCUUGAACGUCGGAGAGGUGAGUGGAAUUCCGAGUGUAGAGGUGAAAUUCGUAGAUAUUCGGAAGAACACCAGUGGCGAAGGCGGCUCACUGGACGACUGUUGACGCUGAGGUGCGAAAGCGUAGGGAGCAAACAGGAUUAGAUACCCCUGUAGUCCCUGUCUCUUAUACA
rnacentral:rRNA from 1 species